rnacentral:rRNA from 1 species
UACGGGGGGGCAAGCGUUGUUCGGAUUCAUUGGGCGUAAAGGGUGCGUAGGCGGCGCGGUAAGUCGGGUGUGAAAUCUCGGAGCUUAACUCCGAAACUGCAUUCGAUACUGCCGUGCUUGAGGACUGGAGAGGAGACUGGAAUUUACGGUGUAGCGGUGAAAUGCGUAGAUAUCGUAAGGAAGACCAGUGGCGAAGGCGGGUCUCUGGACAGUUCCUGACGCUGAGGCACGAAGGCCAGGGGAGCAAACGGG